rnacentral:snRNA from 1 species
AUGCACGAUAGCACAUAUACUAAAAUUGGAACAAUGCAGAGAAGAUUAGCAUGGCCCCUGUGCAUAAUCAUCAACAACUAGUCCAUUACUCAGAAUGU